rnacentral:rRNA from 1 species
GACGAACGCUGGCGGCGUGCUUAACACAUGCAAGUCGAACGGAAAGGCCCUGCUUUUGCUGGUCUCUCGAGUGCCGAACGGGUGAGUAACACGUGUGUAACCUGCCCUUGUCUGUGUGAUAACUUUAGGAAACUGCGGCUCAUAUCGCAUAUGAUCUCUUGCUGCAUGUUGUGGGUUGGUAAGUUUCGGCUGUUGUGUCUGGUCUCGCUGGUUAUCGGCUUGUUUGGGGGGUAGUGGCUUACCAAGGUUUUGACGGGUAGCCUGCCUGAGAGGGUGACCGGCGACAUUGGGACUGAGAUACGGCGCAGAAUCGUACGGGACGCAACAGGGGGGAAUAUUGCAGAAUGGGCGGAAGCCUGAUGCAGAAACGCCGCGUGCGGGAUAACGGGCUUCGGGGUGUAAACCAAUUUGGCCUGUAACGAAGCGUGAGUGACGGUAAUGGGUAAAGAAGCACCGGCUAACUACGUG